UGAACGCUGGCGGCGUGCCUAAUACAUGCAAGUCGAACGAUGAAGCUCUAGCUUGCUAGAGUGGAUUAGUGGCGCACGGGUGAGUAAUGCAUAGAUAACAUGCCCUUUAGUCUAGGAUAGCCAUUGGAAACGAUGAUUAAUACUGGAUACUCCUUACGAGGGAAAGUUUUUCGCUAAAGGAUUGGUCUAUGUCCUAUCAGCUUGUUGGUGAGGUAAUGGCUCACCAAGGCUAUGACGGGUAUCCGGCCUGAGAGGGUGAACGGACACACUGGAACUGAGACACGGUCCAGACUCCUACGGGAGGCAGCAGUAGGGAAUAUUGCUCAAUGGGGGAAACCCUGAAGCAGCAACGCCGCGUGGAGGAUGAAGGUUUUAGGAUUGUAAACUCCUUUUGUGAGAGAAGAUUAUGACGGUAUCUCACGAAUAAGCACCGGCUAACUCCGUGCCAGCAGCCGCGGUAAUACGGAGGGUGCAAGCGUUACUCGGAAUCACUGGGCGUAAAGAGUGCGCAGGCGGGUAGUCAAGUCAGAUGUGAAAUCCUAUAGCUUAACUAUAGAACUGCAUUUGAAACUGAUUAUCUAGAGUGUGGGAGAGGUAGGUGGAAUUCUUGGUGUAGGGGUAAAAUCCGUAGAGAUCAAGAGGAAUACUCAUUGCGAAGGCGACCUACUGGAACAUUACUGACGCUCAUGCACGAAAGCGUGGGGAGCAAACAGGAUUAGAUACCCUGGUAGUCCACGCCCUAAACGAUGAAUGCUAGUUGUUGUGGAGCUUGUCUCUGCAGUAAUGCAGCUAACGCAUUAAGCAUUCCGCCUGGGGAGUACGGUCGCAAGAUUAAAACUCAAAGGAGUAGACGGGGACCCGCACAAGCAGUGGAGCAUGUGGUUUAAUUCGAAGAUACACGAAGAACCUUACCUAGGCUUGACAUUGAUAGAAUCCGCUAGAGAUAGUGGAGUGCUAGCUUGCUAGAACUUGAAAACAGGUGCUGCACGGCUGUCGUCAGCUCGUGUCAUGAGAUGUUGGGUUAAGUCCCGCAACGAGCGCAACCCUCGUCCUUAGUUGCUAACUAUUCGGUAGAGCACUCUAAGGAGACUGCCUUCGCAAGGAGGAGGAAGGUGAGGAUGACGUCAAGUCAUCAUGGCCCUUACGCCUAGGGCUACACACGUGCUACAAUGGGAAGCACGAAGAGAUGCAAUAUUGUGAAAUGGAGCAAAUCUAUAAAACUUCUCUCAGUUCGGAUUGUAGUCUGCAACUCGACUACAUGAAGCUGGAAUCGCUAGUAAUCGUAAAUCAGCUAUGUUACGGUGAAUACGUUCCCGGGUCUUGUACUCACCGCCCGUCACACCAUGGGAGUUGUAUUCGCCUUAAGUCGGAAUGCCAAACUGGCUACCGCCCACGGCGG
rnacentral:rRNA from 1 species